rnacentral:rRNA from 1 species
UACGUAGGGGGCAAGCGUUGUCCGGAAUCAUUGGGCGUAAAGAGCUCGUAGGCGGCUUGUUGCGUCAGCUGUGAAAACCCGCAGCUCAACUGUGGGCUUGCAGCUGAUACGGGCAGGCUUGAGUUCGGUAGGGGAGACUGGAAUUCCUGGUGUAGCGGUGAAAUGCGCAGAUAUCAGGAGGAACACCAAUUGCGAAGGCAGCUCGCUGGGACGUAACUGACGCUGAGACGCGAAAGCGUGGGGAGCAAACAGG